rnacentral:lncRNA from 1 species
AAAAUAUUUUACAUGCUUUUAAUUAAGUUAAAAGGCCAAAAUUCUAAGACUACAUCUAAGAUCAGUUGAUAAAGGUCAAAAAUGUGUAACAUCAAGGUACAUGCACACAUAUAAGACAAAAGUUUCUUCUACUGCAGUAAAAUGCCUGGAAGUGGUGCCUCUGACACAUCUACACUCUGCAAAGAGAAGAGAGCAGUUAGAAGAAGCCUUCUCCUCAUCAGGAUGUCCAUAUGGUUCCAAGUAGGAAGGAUUUCCACAUACAGCUCCAGAGAAACUCCCUCAGCAUUCAUCACUACUGGAUUUGGGAAUGUAAACCUCUUUUAAUGUAUUAUCCUAACUCUUCUGUUAAAGCAGUUCCACUGUGGACUGGAAGAGAAGAACAGGCUUUUGCAGGUGAAAAGGAGCCCAUCCUAGUUAAAUCUUGAGCAGAGUGGAAGUGGUGUGGAUGCACUGCCACACAGCCAAGCCUGAACAGACUCAUUGUCCUGUCAGCAGGAUUCAGCACUACCCUGAACCAGGUGCCAUGGUAACUGCAUGGUGUAAGCACCUGCCUGGAUUCAGCAAGCAUUUUGUACAACAGCCCAGGGACUCAGUUACUGCAGAUUUGAAUAUAAAGCUCACAUUUAUCUUCUCAUAAAUUUAUUUGUGUUGUUAAUAUUUUAUCUGCUGAUGGUAAUUACCUUCACCAGUAUAGUCAGUGACCUAAGGUUCAUGGGUAUUGAUUUCAAUGUUUUCCCACACCACUGAUUUUUCAAGUGGUCUUGGUCAAUUCUCC